GAUGAACGCUGGCGGCGUGCCUAAUACAUGCAAGUCGAACGAACAGAUGAGGAGCUUGCUCCUCUGACGUUAGCCGAGGACGGGUGAGUAACACGUGGAUAACCUACCUAUAAGACUGGGAUAACCUCGGGACACCGGAGCUAAUACCGGAUAAUAUAUUGAACCGCGUGGUUCAAUAGUGAAAGACGGUUUUGCUGUCACUUAUAGAUGGAUAUGGGCCGCAUUAGCUAGUUGGUAAGGUAAAGGGUUAUCAAGGCAACGAGGCGUAGCCGAGCUGAGAGGGUGGUCGGCCACACUGGAACGUAGACACGGACCAUGCGCCUGCGGUAGGCAGCAGUAGGGAAUCGGCCGCAAUGGGCGAGAGCCUUACGGAGCAGCGCGGCGUGAGUGAUAGAAGUCUUCGGUGCGUAAAGCUCUGUUAUGAGGUAAGAACAAAUUUGUAAGGAGCUAUGCACGGCUUGACGGUACCUAAUCAGAAAGCCACGGCUAACUACGUG
rnacentral:rRNA from 1 species